CAAUAGCGUAUAUUAAAGUUGUUGCAGUUAAAAAGCUCGUAGUUGGAUUUCGGGGCAGCCUGGCUGGUCCGCCGCAAGGCGAGUACUGGUCAGCCGCCCUUCCUCUCGAAAGCCCCGACUGCUCUUUAUUGCAGUGGUCGGGUAGUUCGGGACGUUUACUUUGAAAAAAUUAGAGUGUUCAAGGCAGGCCUACGCCUGAAUACAUUAGCAUGGAAUAAUGGAAGAGGACCUCGGUCCUAUUUUGUUGGUUUCCAGGACCGAAGUAAUGAUUAAGUGGGACAGUUGGGGGCAUUCGUAUUUAAUUGUCAGAGGUGAAAUUCUCGGAUUUAUGAAAGACGAACAACUGCGAAAGCAUUUGCCAAGGAUGUUUUCAUUAA
rnacentral:rRNA from 1 species